AUUGAACGCUGGCGGCAGGCCUAACACAUGCAAGUCGAACGGUAACAGGAAGAAGCUUGCUUCUUUGCUGACGAGUGGCGGACGGGUGAGUAAUGUCUGGGAAACUGCCUGAUGGAGGGGGAUAACUACUGGAAACGGUAGCUAAUACCGCAUAAUGUCGCAAGACCAAAGAGGGGGACCUUCGGGCCUCUUGCCAUCGGAUGUGCCCAGAUGGGAUUAGCUAGUAGGUGGGGUAACGGCUCACCUAGGCGACGAUCCCCAGCUGGUCUGAGAGGAUGACCAGCCACACUGGAACUGAGACACGGUCCAGACUCCUACGGGAGGCAGCAGUGGGGAAUAUUGCACAAUGGGCGCAAGCCUGAUGCAGCUAUGCCGCGUGUAUGAAGAAGGCCUUCGGGUUGUAAAGUACUUUCAGCGGGGAGGAAGGGAGUAAAGUUAAUACCUUUGCUCAUUGACGUUACCCGCAGAAGAAGCACCGGCUAACUCCGUG
rnacentral:rRNA from 1 species